CAGAAACUUCAGAAAUAAGUUCUUUUCGUUGAUGGCAAGUAGUGCUGGAAAUCCCAUGGACAGAGGAGCCCUGGCGCGCUGUAGUCCCUGGGGUCGCAAAGAGUCCGACACGACUUAGCAACUGAAUCCGAGACUCUAAUUAGCCCUUAUAUGUUCAGCUAAGAACUAGUGCAGUAGGGGAACCUCUCACGGGCUUGGUGCCCCUGGUUUUCCUGCCUGCCACCCACGGAGGAGCCCCACUAGACUUCCCUCCGUCAGGUGAGGGCACCAUCUGGUCCCCUGUGACCCAUCUGAGCACAGCUGAGGGAGGGGAAGGUGGGCUACGGUCCACCAGCAGGUCUGGGGCUCUGGUUAUCUUGGUGAUGACUGAUGGAAUGUCCCAGUGCUUGAUCUCAAGAGGGAAUUUUUGAAAGUAGCAACAUCAGUAGUACCACUGGUGGUGGUUACAGUUGUUUUUCUGGGAUGGGACAUCCCAAGGAGCCACCUGAGUGCCUGGAGCCAGGUGAACCCCAGUGCCAUCCCUGUUGUUUUUUUCCAAGGCAUCUCUUCUUUUAAUUUUAAAAUACUCUUUAACCCAAGAGUUCUUAAGUAUUUAAUUUUUUCCUUGUCUCUUUCCUCCUCUUCCUUCCUACUCAACUGGAGUCAGCGAUGCCCUGUGCAGCUUUCUUCUUUAGGGGGUUUUGGGGUUUCCAGGUUGCUUCUCAUGUUCGCAAACGCUCCUUGGAUACUCGAGCGACAGCUGUGUUUUCUCCAGGACACGCACGUGAACGUGAAUCAAUCAGAUUACGUUCAUUGAUUACGUUACGUUUCACGCGGUGGCCAGAAGGUGCUCUGGUCGCUGCGCUGUCAGAGUCAAGGGUCGGGCUCCGUUUCCCGACGGGACUGUGUUCCCUGGAUCAACCCUAACAGCUUCUCUGUAUAUAUGAGCUGUUCUGGCAGCUGAUUGGAUCUUUGCAUCAAUCAGGAAAUGCUCUCCCGUAUGUGUUCAGUGUUUGUGGCCUGAAUUUUGCCUUUCUCAUCGUGCUUUACUGUCUUCCCUCCGGGGUCAUUUUCAGAUGUGUGUCUCAUGGAGUCUAAGUUUUUCUUCUUCCUGGGUCAGUGGUCCUUCCUGGACGUCUUAUGUUGGUAACAAUCAUACGCUUGGUUCCGUCACUGCCUCUCCCAUGAAGGGUUUGCUCCUUCUAGCCUCCCUUUGAGUGUGGUUUGGAAGCUAAAUGACCUGAGAGCGUGGCCCUAGUUACCUUCAUUGAAACGGAGGACAUUUCGACGGGAAGUGCUUGGUGCGUGUCGAGAGCCGUGUAGGGACUCAGGCACUCUGCGGCUCCCCGGGCAGAGCGAGUGUUUCAGCCUAGAUUCCUCCCCGGGUUCCCUCUCCCCAGGGCCCCGGGGCGCUGUGUUCCCCCGGUGAUGAGGCGUCUGUGAUGCUGCUGUGUUCUCUGUGGCGAGGUUUCUCUAAUGAGUCGGGGUUUGCAGCCUUGAGUGUGUGGUUUGAUUUUGUGUGCCUUGAUGCUUAAGGACUUUCGGGGUCCCCCUCCCCAGCGUGCAGUCCCUUCUGUGUGCCCGGGCAGUUGUGUGUGUCACGUGGACUGUGGGCUUUGAUGGGACCCCGCAGUCACGUGACCCUGGGCACUGGCCUCAGCUGUGCCUGGUAUGGUUCUCUGGCCCGCGUCUGCCUGGGAGGCCGACCCCCUCCUGUUCUUCCCGCUCACCUGCUCAUCCAUGUGCUUUGCAGACACGCCUGGUGGCUUCAGUGCGCUAGACGCGGUUCAGCAGUGCCCUUUGCCCUUUGCCAAGAACUGAGAGCAGGAGCUGACCGUGCUUAUUCUAGGCCUGCACACUUUCUAGGCCUUCCUGGUUUCACAGAGCAAGUCUGGCCUUUUCAGCCCAGCACUGGGUCUGGCAGGCUGUCCUUGAGCUUUCUGUCUCCAGCCUACCCUUUUCUGCACCGGCCCACUGGUCCCCGAGAUGCCACAUGGUGAUGCCCCAGUGUGAUGUGUAUGGACCCUUCUCCACAGGCCUUGGGGAUAAAUGUCUCACAAGGACACUCACACACGGUGGCCCUGAAUGUCUUCCUGUUUUUGUUCCAGCUACAUUGGUUAGACAUACUGGUGAUCUGAAACUUAAAACAUAAACAUUCAAAAAACUUGGGGCUUCCCUUGUAGCUCAGUUGGUAAAGAAUCUGCCUGCAGUGCAGGAGACCUGGGUUCCAUCCCUGGGUUGGGAAGAUCCCCUGGAGAAGGAAAUGGCAACCCACUCCAGUAUCCUUGCCUGGAAAAUUUCAUGGACAGAGGGGCCUGGAGGGCUGCAGUCCAUGGGGUUGCAAAGACUCAGGCAUGACUGAGCAACUAACACUUAUAUUAUUCAAAAAACUAAGAUCAUGGCAUAAAACUAAAGAUUCAGAAUACUAGGAUCAUGGCAUCCGGUCCCAUCACUUCACGGCAAAUAGAUGGAGAAACAAUGGAAACAGUGACAGACUAUUUUCUUGGGCUCCAAAAUCACUGCAGAUGCUGACUGCAGCCAUAAACUUGCUCCUUGGAAGAAAAGCUAUGACAAACCUAGACAGCAUAUUAAAAAGCAGAGACUGCCAACAAAGGUCCAUCUAGUCAAAGCUAUGGUUUUUCCAGUAGUCAUGUAUGGAUGUGAGAGUUGGACUAUAAAGAAAGCUGAGCAACGAAGAAUUGAUGCUUUUGAACUGUGGUGUUGGAGAAGACUCUUGAGAGUCCCUUGGACUGCAAGGAGAUCCAACCCCAGUCCAUUCUAAAGGAAAUCAGUCCUGAAUAUUCAUGGGAAGGACUGAUGUUGAAGCUGAAGCUCCAAUACUUUGGCCACCUGAUGCGAAGAAGACCCUGAUUAUGGGAAAGAUUGAAGACAGGAGGAGAAGGGGACAACAGAGGAUGAGAUGGUUGGAUGGCAUCAUGGACUCGAUGGACAUGAGUUUGAGUAAACUCCUGGAGUUGGCGACGGACAGGGAGGCCUGGCGUGCUGCAGUCCAUGGGGUUGCAAAGAGUCGGACACGACUGAGCGACUGAACUGAACUGAACAUUGGUCAGAACAGCCACCAUCACUGGUGACUGACCCGGACAGCAUCCUUCCUUUGCUUCUGGACUUAAGGCAGGCCUUGGUCUUUACAAAAUAUUCCACUUGACUGGUCCUGGAAGCUGCUCAUCUCCCGUGAUGAUUUAUGUGAUAAUUAGAUCCAUUAAAAUGUCCAUAGCAAAGCCCAUCAGCUCCACCCAGUGGGAGCAGAAGCCCAGAGGAGGAGGAGAAGGCAGCCUUGUGGCCACAGGUGUGGGCGUCCACACACCUGAGAGCGAGUGGGCACAGGCCACCCCCACACACGGGAGCCUCCACCCUCGUCCCCGCCCUGCUGGGGAGGAAGGAUGCGCAGAACGCCGGCCACGAACCAUGAACCAAACCACCGACUUGAUACUGUGCCAAGCGCCGGGUGGGAACGUACAGGUGUGUAGGGUGAAGUUGCUGCGGGCAUCUGGUCGACAGGUAUCUCAGUAACCCACCUUCUGUGCUUCACAGUCAAUCCAGGCUUCCUCCACGAGAGAGGAAAGGCUGUUCCUUGCCCCCCAAUCUAUAAAAUCGGAAAUACUAUGAAAUUUUAGGAGAGGAAGGUGAAGCAGUUCUGUAUUCUCUGUAAGAAAGGUUUCCCCAGAGACCAGGUGUUACUUUCGCUUGGCUGUCUCACCCACCACACACCUAAGGACUGUUGUUUCACUAGUGUUUACUUUGUUAGCGUUAAAUACCAAGGUCUGUCUGCCGAAGCAUGAAUUUUCUCAGUUUUAUAAAUUGGUUGCCUUGUCCUUUCUUCCAUAAACAAUGGAGACCCAAGAGUGAAGUCCACUGCCAGGCCU
ensembl:lncRNA